AUAAAAAACCAGAAAAAAGCGUCCAAAACACGCACCGGUCCGCUCUCACGUAAAAAAACCGAAGCGAAAACCGCCCCCGAAAAAAUCGUUCCGCUCCCGAACCCUCGCCCACAACCGCCUUCCCCGCUCGCGGGCGGGUUUCUCUUCUACCGCACCGCCACCGCCACCGCCACAAUUUGCUGCGCAUCACCAUCGGCGGCCUCGCCGCCAGCAGGCGACUGACGGGACGCCGCAAAGUCGGGCCCUCCCCUUCCCCUGCCCGCCCUUCACUGGUACUGGGCUGGAUUCGUUUGCUUCAUCGGUUGGCUGAACCCGUGACGACGGUUCCGGUGCGGGCGGCCUUGGGAGAUGGUGCUCUGUCCACGGUUUCCCCUCCAACUUCGCCGCCCUCCAGGUGUUGCCCAUGUGCUUCGAUUGGUUGGUUAGAACCUAUAUCGAGGUCUGCUUCGGCCUCCGUUGGCCAGGUUUGUGGAUAUCGAGCGAUCGAUUCGGAGCGCCAGGCGAGGCGACCGGCUUGGUUGGUGGUUCCGUCUCGCCUUCGGCUUCCUCCUAUUCUAGCUUGGAAGCUAAGGAUGGGCUUGGUUCGGUUUGCAUCUGAGGAGGAGGGGGUGGGUAGUGGUAGCGUGCACUGGUGGUUUGGGGGGCGGCUUGAUGCGGGACGGCGCGCAGACUCCUCGCGGCGGCUGGGGGUUCUUCUCAGCGCGGUCGCUCUCGAAGACUCCAACUACAAGCGGAUCAUGUCGUCGGGGGCAUCCAUGGCCGCCGCCACGCUGUGGUCGGCGGGCGCGUCACUGGUGAACUCGAUCGCCAGCCACGAGGAUGGCAGCCAUGACUAGGUUGGUUUGAUUGCUCUAGCUUCUUGCUCUGGUGCGGUACAGUACGGGGCAGGUGCUCCUCUGCGCGUCAGGACCGACGACCAAUCAGCGGCCGACGGGUGGCUCCACUGACAGGCGGGGCGCCGCAGCCACGCGACCCCUUGCCGUUGUCGCAUGUAUCUCAUCGGCCGCUUCACCGUUCGAGAAAGGCAAAAUCGGGUGAAGGAAAUUCCAUCGGAUCCUUUACAAAGCCUUGUGAUAUUUUGAUCUAUACUUUUUUUUUUCUAAUUUAACGGUUGACGUGUGUAGAAGAGAGAAAAAUAAUACGCAUCAUGUUAGAAGAGAUAUUUUUAAGAACCCGAUCCAAAUUUCCUUCCGGGAGGUUGCGGCUGCCUUGCCAUUCCUGUGGAAUCCGGUACCCAGCCCAGGGGAGAGAGGGCGAGGCUUCUUCUGGGGUUCUUGGUUCUUUGCAAGAUUGGCUGCAAUCAUCGCCAUAAUCAUCAAGCAUGGGGUUAUCACCAUUGACAAAAUGACAACACAUCAUGCGCAAAUGCUACAGUUAUUCACGUGGACAGCGCCAACAAGUAUGGGAUACUGUUGGAGGUAGUGCAGGUCCUCGCUGACCUCAAACUCAUAGUCAAGAAAGCCUACAUAUCCUCGAAGUGAGCUGCAAGGGGACCUUAACAACUGCGUGGAAUAGUGAUGGAUUUGGAUGAACAACUUCUGGUAAAUCAUUUCACAAGAUAGUGAAAUGUGCUUUUAUUUUGAGUUUAGUUAGCUCUCAUAGAUGAUCUGUAAU